UCGAGAUGUGAACAAAGUUAAGUGUGUUUCUGACGUAUUUAUAAAUAACUGACAUGUGUGCAGCAGGAUAUCCAGCUCAAUUUGUAUUUUGUCCCGAUUUCGCAUUGUGUUUGCUGGUAGACUAUCGGCAAAUGAUACGAUGGUAAAUUUGAAUUUGUGACUCUUGAAUCCUUCCAGAAUAAAGUUUCAUUAAGUUGCUGACCAAAAAUAUACACCAGAAAAUUCAAAUAUAGCAGUUUUUCAAAGACAAUUUUAAAAAUAUAGAGUGUUCCCCCGUUUGAUUUUUUGUUCUACGGAAGCGGAUAUGGACCAUGAUUGCGCCAAUUUCCCGAUUUUUAUGUAACAUCAUUUGUAGAUUGAAACCAGAGCAUUUUUUUGUCAUUUUAAACAAUUUUGUUUUGUUCUGUUGAAUGUUUUUGAUCAAAAUAAUAUUUCAUGAUCACAUUGAGAUGCCUAUCAUUCUAGUGCGGUAUACAUUUUUUUGCAGUUCAGACUCUAGUUUCAUGGUAUGUGCCUAUAAGAAAGAUUGGCUGGAGACAAGUACAUUCAUGUUGCUGUAGAUCUUUUCAAGUUUGAUUACAAUGUAGACCUGUGAUGUGUGAAUGAAUUCCAAUUUACCGACAGUGUUUCUUUGGAUCCAGCUAUUCAUAUUAUACGGAUUUGUUCAGUUGUUCUAUAUGUUGAGCCAGGUGGUAUUUGUUGAGGUGAUGCAUACUCUUAAGCAUAAUGGCAGAACCAGUGGACAUAUCAUCGGAAGAUGAAAGCUGCCCUAUCUGCGACGAAUUUUUAAAGAACGGAUCGCCCAUAGUUUUGAUACGUGAAAAGGGAGCAAAUAGCAUCAACAGAGCCAGUGCACAGAGAAAUCGAAUGUAACAAGACUGUAGAAGGGAUUUUAUAGACUUGAGAAAUGUAAAAACUGAUAAUUAUAGUGGAUAUGCAUGUGACUCUUUGACAACAAGAUGCAGUUGUACAACUUUUGAUUUUAAAUCUAAUUGUUUCUUCUGCACUUGUAAACCGCCUCGGUAGCCUAGUGGUAGAGCGUCCGCUUCGCGUGCGGGAGGUCGUGGGUUCG
rnacentral:lncRNA from 1 species